UACGGAGGGGGCGAGCGUUGUCCGGAAUCACUGGGUGUAAAGGGCGCGCAGGCGGGCCGUCAAGUCCGGGGCGAAAGCCCGAGGCUCAACCUCGGGAGUGCGUUCGAUACUGUGGGGCUCGAGGCCGGGAGAGGGGAGUGGAAUUCCCGGAGUAGCGGUGAAAUGCGUAGAUACCGGGAAGAACGCCAGUGGCGAAGGCGGCUGCCUGGCCGAUUUGUGACGCUGAGGUGCGAAAGCGUGGGGAGCAAACAGG
rnacentral:rRNA from 1 species